GUGACCACCAUCAUCACCAUCUCCAUUAUUAUCAUCAUCAGUCAUGAUCUCUCGUGGUCUCCUGCUGGUUCUGCUGGUUCUCACCUGCCUUCAGUCUUUUGCAACGGCCAACAACUCAGUGGAACCAGAAACAUGCUGCUUCAGUUACUAUGAGAGUCCAAUCCCUAUCAGAGUCAUUACAGGGUAUAAAGUAACAGACCGUCAGUGUACAAAACCUGCAGUCAUCUUUACCCUGAAGAACAGCCGUCGUGUGUGUGUAGAUCCUGAAGUCAAGUGGGUGCAGAACCACAUGAAAAGAAUUGACCAGAACCUGUAUAAAAAACUGAUCCAAUCUCAAAUGAGUGUUUAAAUUCAUUUCAUAUUCAAUUUAAUCAAUUCACUUUUUCUGUAGUUCAGCAGGAAGAAUCUUUUUUACAUUAUAUAUUAAAUUAUAAAUUGAGCCUAGUAUGAUUUAUCUGAUUUAUUAGUAUACAUAUACAGUAUAUUACAUCUUCUAAAUCUUCUCACUAGUACUUCCUGCUAUCAUCUAUUCUUUUUCCUCUUUCUUUUUCUCCAUUCUAUAAGUAAUGUGAGUUUCUAAUCAGGCACCAAUACAGUACUGUUUUUUACAAACCUGUAAAAGAAUUAAAAUCAAUAAAUAGUGACUGUA